rnacentral:antisense_RNA from 1 species
UUUAGGAGCGAGCCUGCUCGCGAUGGCGGCUACACAUUCAACAUAGGUGUCACCGCUAUCGCGAGCAGGCUCGCUCCCACA